GCCAGGAUGGCAGAGCGGCCAUGCAGUCGGCUGCAGACCGACAUAGCCCAGUUCAACUCUGGGUCCUGGCU
rnacentral:tRNA from 1 species